CCAUGACCAUCAUCCGACAGAUCGGUAGCAACGUUCAACUGACGGUACAACCUGGCCAGCAACCGCAAGUAGUGCAAUCGAUCCAAGCCAAUCAGGGCCAAAUGUAGAAGACCAUUGGUCAACUGCAAAAAAAAAGAUACAUCAACAGCACCUUCAAACACAGUAGCAGCAGCAUACUGUACUGUACCACGCCGCGUGCAGGACUUUUUUUUAUUCAGUUGGUGCAGCAAGAUCGAACAGCAACCAUAGCGGAUACACAUCACCGAACACCAGCAACAUAAUGCCAUGGUAACCACCCAGCAGCAGAACACGGCGAUAAUGGGCCAACAGUAAAUACAACAUCAAGAUCCUCGGAAAGGACUUUCUCUUUCGAACAAACAUAAUGGAAGCAUACUCUACACGCGCGACAUAUUCAAUCGGGCCAACCGCGUGACUCGUUUGGCAAAAAGGGCUCAUCAUCGGUUUCAUGGCAGCGAAGUGAGCAGACAAAAGAAGGCGUUUUUU